rnacentral:rRNA from 1 species
GGGGAAUAUUGCACAAUGGGGGAAACCCUGAUGCAGCAACGCCGCGUGAGUGAUGACGGUCUUCGGAUUGUAAAGCUCUGUCUUCAGGGACGAUAAUGACGGUACCUGAGGAGGAAGCCACGGCUAACUACGUGCCAGCAGCCGCGGUAAUACGUAGGUGGCAAGCGUUGUCCGGAAUUACUGGGCGUAAAGGGUGCGUAGGCGGUCCUUUAAGUGGGAUGUGAAAUCCCUGGGCUUAACCCAGGAACUGCAUUCCAAACUGGAGGACUAGAGUGCAGGAGAGGAAAGCGGUAUUCCCAGUGUAGCGGUGAAAUGCGUAGAGAUUGGGAGGAACACCAGUAGCGAAGGCGGCUUUCUGGAAUGUAACUGACGCUGAGGCACGAAAGCGUGGGGAGCAAACAGGA